ACUCAAAGGAAUUGACGGGGGCCCGCACAAGCGGUGGAGCAUGUGGUUUAAUUCGAUGCAACGCGAAGAACCUUACCUAUUCUUGACAUCCUAGGAAGCUGGCUGAAAGGCCGGUGUGCCGAAAGGAACCUAGAGACAGGUGCUGCAUGGCUGUCGUCAGCUCGUGUUGUGAGAUGUUGGGUUAAGUCCCGUAACGAGCGCAACCCUUGCUCUUAGUUACCAUCAUUCAGUUGGGGACGCUAAGAGGACUGCCGGUGAUGAACCGGAGGAAGGCGGGGACGACGUCAAGUCAUCAUGGCCUUUAUGAGUAGGGCUACACACGUGCUACAAUGGGGCGUACAGAGGGAAGCGAAACUGUGAAGUGAAGCGAAUCUCAGAAAGCGCCUCGUAGUCCGGAUUGGAGUCUGCAACUCGACUCCAUGAAGUUGGAAUCGCUAGUAAUCGCGAAUCAGCAUUGUCGCGGUGAAUACGUUCCCGGGCCUUGUACACACCGCCCGU
rnacentral:rRNA from 1 species